CCUACGGGAGGCAGCAGUGAGGAAUAUUGGUCAAUGGACGAGAGUCUGAACCAGCCAAGUAGCGUGAAGGAUGACUGCCCUAUGGUUUGUAAACUUCUUUUAUAUGGGAAUAAAAUGUUCCACGUGUGGGAUUUUGUAUGUACCAUAUGAAUAAGGAUCGGCUAACUCCGUGCCAGCAGCCGCGGUAAUACGGAGGAUCCGAGCGUUAUCCGGAUUUAUUGGGUUUAAAGGGAGCGUAGGUGGAUUGUUAAGUCAGUUGUGAAAGUUUGCGGCUCAACCGUAAAAUUGCAGUUGAAACUGGCAGUCUUGAGUACAGUAGAGGUGGGCGGAAGUCGUGGUGUAGCGGUGAAAUGCUUAGAUAUCACGAAGAACUCCGAUUGCGAAGGCAGUUCACUGGACUGCAACUGACACUGAGGCUCGAAAGUGUGGGUAUCAAACAGGAUUAGAUACCCGGGUAGUC
rnacentral:rRNA from 1 species